GACCGCGUAGCUCAGUUGGCAGAGUAUUGGGCUAGUAUUCCAAAGGUCGUAGGUUCGAUUCCCACCGUGCUCA
rnacentral:tRNA from 1 species